rnacentral:lncRNA from 1 species
CAAAUCCAAACCCAUCUCUUGCUAUAUAACCAACCCACCUUCACCUCAUCUUCUUCAUCACAACACAACUACCCUGAUUUACAGAGAGAUUUUCUAUAUCCAUUCACUACUCAGAAUCACCUCUUUCUAUUGUUGAUUGUUGUUUGGGUUUCGGAGAAAGAAAAUUAAGAAGAUGAGUCAUGUGGGGAAAGCUUGGUUAGUGGCAGCAAGUGUGGGAGCAGUGGAGGCACUCAAGGAUCAGGGCUUCUGCAGAUGGAACUACACUCUGAGGUCUAUUCACCAGCAUGCCAAGACCAACCUCAGGUCCUUUGCUCAGGCCAAGAAGCUCUCUUCUUCCUCUUCCGCCAUGGUUUCCAGCAGAGUGAGAGAGGAGAAGGCCAAGCAGUCAGAGGAGUCUCUGAGGACUGUCAUGUACUUGAGCUGCUGGGGACCCAACUGAAGAAGAAGAUAUGAAGAUGGAUGAUCAUCAGCCUGCUCUUGAAGCAUCCAGGGAGGGCAUAUUCCAAGAAAGUAACGGAAAAUUGAGAUGAAGAAACUGCAGUGAAGCAAUUUCAUGGAAUUUUUGCUUGGAGACUCACGAAUUACAACCAAUUGCUCAGGGUUGGGAAAAUUGGAAUUGGCGUAAAUUGUGACUGGGUCUUUGUAAAACCCACAUCAUUUAGCUAGAAAAGCUUUGAAAAUACAUUUUAAUUUAAUUUAUAAUUUCUAUGUUAGAAUAUUAGACCCAAUUCCUAAAAAGCUUGUCAGCCUUGUAUAUAUGGCUAAGCAGGUCAACUUCCCAAGCUCAAGCGCAUUAAGAAAUUCUCAAACCUACCUUUUUUUUAUAGGAUUUUUGGGAAGUUUUACAGCAAUUGAAAACAAAUCUUAAAAGGGUCGGGAAAUUAUUUGAAAAAAUAUGGCAGAUUUGGUCACAUAGGGGAUAAAGAGGUGAUAAAGUUGGUACAACGCCCAAAAUUAAACUCUCAAUUAAUUUAAUUGAACAAAUAAUCAUAAAAGAGAUUUUUUUAAUUUAUGAUUUUUAUUUUUUUAUUUAUACUUUUUGAAAAAGAAAAUUCCAGUGAAAUAUGUUCGUGUAGACUGUGUGGCAGGAUGCAGACUAAACAAAGAAAUUGACACGUGCUUGAAGUCCGGCCCUACACAUAGCCCCAUUGGAAAACAGCGGUUUCAUCCUCCGUACUCUUUGGGCGUUAAGUGGGUUCACAAACCAAACAAUGGGCUGCCCCAACACAGCAACACUUAGACUGAGGACAAACUAUGUAGGUGAAUACCCAAUUAUACCCACAUGAAUCAGUGGUCAAUCUUUCAAAUAUAAGGACAGAGUAGUCAUUCCAAUUCAAAUCAAACAAAGUUAUGAGAACUGCUGGCCACAGCCUCUGGUUUCCCCAAAACUUUGGGCACUAUUCCUCAAAGAAUCAAGUGGGCUAGAGUUAAUAACUUCGUCCACCAUGGUUAGAUUACUGGGGGCUAGAGUUAAUAACUUCAUCCACCAUGGUUAGAUUAUUGGUAUCUCGAUGGGAGAAGUUGUUUUGACGGUAAAACAUUGUAUUUUAUUAUUUUGUAAAUUUUAUCAUCACUCAUAUAUAUUAUUUUUUAUUUAAAAUUAAAUAAAAAAUUAAAAUUCUUAGAAAAUGCGAAACAAAAGUAUAUCACAACUUAUAUUAAUUAAACGUCUUUAUUUUCUAUUCUAAAAUUAAAAAACAAAAUUAAAAUUAUCAAGAAAAAAGUACAUUCCAACUUACAUUAAUCAAGGGAUGAUAUACUGUACAAAUAAAAAAUAAUAAAAAUAAUUAAAGGUUAAAUAAAUCGCUUAAUAAAUUGAUAGUAUGGGUUGAUGGUUUCAUUAUAAGACCAUAACAAGGAUUUUCUUUUUCUUUUUCUUUUUAAAUGCAUUUCACGGUGGUGUAGAAUUUUUUUGUAUAAGGGUUUUUAAAUUAUAAUAUUGAUUAUAUAUAUAGGUGUGUUUUGUCCUAAAUUCCGAUUUCCAAGUUUCCAACAUUAUAUAAAAAUCCCUAAAAUCAUCUACUUCGUAAGUUUUCUAACAUUAUAUAAAAAGCCCUGAAUUCACUUAUUAGGAAAAUGCUAUUUGGUGCACUACCAUCACCAUGACCUCAACCUCGUGUAAAGAUAUCAAGUGGUUACUAAUAAUAAAAAAUAAAUAAUAAAAACAAAAUGUAUUCAUUAUUAUUAUUAUUAUUAUUUUGUACUUUUACCAUCCAUUGUUCACAUCUUAGCAUAUGGUAGAAAAGAUGAUAAAUGAUUAUUUAUGUCAUAAUUUUUAAGUGAAGUGAUCAAAAUAUUUAAAGAAAAAAUUAAUAAUUGAUGAAUAAUUUUUGGUAAAUUUAUAAAUUUGUAAUAAAUAUUAAUAAAUGAUAAACAAAGUAGUUUUUAAAGCGGUUGUAGUAGUUAAACAUUAUAUCUCAUUAUGAUUUUCCACCUUCAAAACUUAAUAAUAAAAUUUCAUAACAAAUUUUUAUCUAUUUAAAACUUUUGAAAUGUGAAAUCUUUUCUUGGACAUCUUUAUAUAUACAUUUGUGAAUUUUCUCUUUAUUUGCUAUUUAUAAAAUUAAAGGAUAAAGUUAAAAUGUUAAAAAUAAAAGAGAAGUAUAUCCCAACUUACAUCAAUUAAGAGAAGAUAUAUUAAGCACAUGAAGAAUGCAAAAAAAAAUUAAUGAUAAAAUAAAUCACUUAUUAGUUAGUAUUUAAUGAUUUACAUUAUUAGAUUGUAGCGAUGAGUUAUAUUUUUAUUUUUGUGUAUAGGUGAUUUUAAAUUAUAAUAUUUUUUAUUUUAUUUUUGAGUUAGUUUUCUUUGUUGAUACAUAGGUUUUUUUUUUUUUUUUUGUCUUGGAUAUUGUGUUAUCUACAGUUUUAAAAGAAAUAAAAAUUAUUUAUCCCACAUUGAUUCAAAACUAAAAAUAUUAUAUAUAUAUUUGUUAAAACUUUGAUACCCUUAAAAAAUACAAGUACAACCAAUAAGCAGGCAUAGGGAUGGCAACGGGGUAGGUAUGGGACGGGCCACCCCUACCCCAUUUCCAUCCCGGUUAUAUAUUUUUUUUUCCAUCCCCGUCCCAAACCCAGGGCGGGGCGAGUUGGUGUCUCCUAUGCCCAUUUACAAAAGAGCUGAUAAUCUCAUCCCCAUCCCAAAUGUAUUUUCGGGAAUUAUGCUUUUACAGAACAUGGGUCUCUGAAAUUUCAAUAAACGUUAUAUGGGUUAUCAUAAACACAUUUAAUCAAGCAUUUGUUGUGCAACAAAACUGCAAACUGCACACAUGAGAACAAAAUGCACAGAUCUACAAAUAAACAACCCAAAAAAUCUCAAAUCCAUCAACCAAACCAGAAAAUAUGAAAAACAAGACAUUUCUAACAAAGCCUCAAAACUUAGGGUUUUCUUACCUGGAAAUGAGGAAUCCAUAGAAACCCUAAUAAUUUGUUGUCUACGAAUUUGGUAUUUUGGUUUUCAAAGCAAAAAAUGUGCUUUUAGGGUGAAACGGGAAGAAACAAUUUAGGAAUAAAUGAGAAAACGAGAAGAAAUGAGAAAACAAAAGCCCUAUUACGAGCAAAAGAACCCUGAGCAAUUUAGGAAGAAAUGAGAAAACGGGAAGAAAUGAGAAAACAAAAAGCCUCUUACGAGCAAAAGAAUCCUAAGCAAUUUAGGAAGAAAUGAGAAAACUAGAAGAAAUGAGAAUGAAAGCCCUCUGAGAGCGAAAACCCUCUAAGAGUGAAAGCCCUCUGACUCUCUCACGAGUGAAAUAACCCUAAAAUUUGAGGAAGAAAUGAUUAUAUAUGGAGGACUUUUUGGGUAUUUUGUAAUGACAUAAGGGUAAAUCGGUAAUUCACAUACGGGAUGGGGCGGAAACUGCAAAACCCAUCCCUGCCCUGAACCCGAUUUGGGUUUUUAUAUAUUCCCCAAACCCGUUCUAUACCCGAAUAAAAUAUUCCCAUACCCGUCCCAAUAGGGGCGGGUGACCCGAAUUACUCGGAAAAUUACCAUUCCUAAGCAAGCAUUGAGCUAAAUCCUAAUCUCACAUUCUUGCUCGAAACUUUACACUCAAAUAAAAACAAUUCACCACUUGACUCGAGGGACUAUUCCGUAACUUCUCACUACCAACAACCAGGCACUAUUCGACCUCUCGCUCGCUUAUAAAUUCACUCCCUACUUGCAUAUUCAAAGCGUAUCUCACUACCAUUCUACUCUACUAUUCUACUUUUCGCGGUUUCAUAUCUCACUACUAUUCGCGUGUUCAAAGUGUGCAUAUUCAAAGUGUAUCCCUCCUUGAAUUAAUUGUGAAUUAAUUUAGGCUUCAAAGUGUGUUGCUCUACAAUAUCCUUCCUAGUCAGGCUUCAAAGUAAGAGCAACAACAUCUACAAUAUCUACCAUGGCCACACAACCAAGGUAUGCGGUAUGCCGCCUUUUCUCAUGUCCUUUUCCCAUUUUGUUCCCUCUUUUCAUCUCCAUUUUGUUUUCAAUAUUCUCUUACCUUACUCAUAUUCUCUAAAAUUAGAUAAAAUUAUUAAUUUGAUCAUAUUUAUCUAACAUUUUUAAUUAGUACUACUAGUAUCUUAUUUUCAUAAAUCUAAUUGAAUUUUCUACUUAUUUAUUUAUUGUUUUCAUGACAGAACUUCACCAGCUUUCAUAUCUUUCCUUACAAUUUUGAGUUCAGUUGUCCUUGCGAAGUACCAAUAUGAGAAUGUUUCCCCAUUUUCCCAACACAACAUAGGUAUGCAAAUCUCCUUAUUUGCAUCAUUUAUAUAUUUCAUGAUGGUUGUGGUUUAUGAAAUCCUUGAUUCUGAUGGAACUGUCAAAGUUGAAGAAGAUGGAAGAUAUCUCCUUAUUUUGGGCCUGUUCGGUUCUUAAGUGGAACAGCAGCUGCAACUUUGUUGAUCCUGAUCUUGAUCCCAUAUCUUGGAUGGUUCCUUUUGGUCAUGUAGACCAUGUUCUUAGUGAAAAUAGCAUGCUAUUGGGAUAAAACAUUUUAUAACUUUGACAUGUUCAAGAAUAAAAAAAAAUGCCAAUGAUAGGGAAGGAAGACAAGAGGAGCAGCGACGCCAAGUUUAGAGUAGGUUUGGUCCAACAGAGGUUAUUAGCAAAAAACAUAUUUUCUUCUUGUACUUUCGAAAGUGUUAUAUAAGUGUUAUAUUUUGAGUAAUGAGAGUAUUUUUUUCCUUUUUUCUUUUUCUCUAAUACAUUAUUGGUGAUUAUUCUUCAUCGGAAUACCCACAAGGUUAUUAGAUGUUUAAUUGCAAAUAUGGUUUUAUAUGAUAGCAUUAUGAUUGAACUAAUAAAACAUAUUUUUUUGCAUAUUGUUUAGCUGGACUUCCCAACUACCUCUGGGUAAUAUCCUUUUAACAUAGGAAGUAUAAACUAAUAGCAAGUGCUAAUCUUUCCCAUUCUUACACAAGAAAGAACUAAGGAAAAAGGUAUACUUAGAAGUUGCAUUUCUAUGUUCCCAAACAAUAGAAAAUUCAAUAUAUGGCACUUCACUCUCUACUUUUCUUUCCCACCUUUUCUCAUAACCCAAAUAUGCUCACCUCUCAUUCCAAGAUCCAACCAAAAUUGAAAAACAAUUACAAAAAUCCUAGUAGAAGAGACAGAUCAUACUACAAUUACACUUUCUUACAAGAAAUUGAAGUGCAAAAGGAAUAACAAUUGAGUGAAACAAAUAAAACCAACCCCCUUUACCACACCUACUAAUGAAAUACUUGCAGAGACACUUUAAAUUUCUCCAGACUCCAAGAGAUACUGAUCAACAGCCUCGACACCUGCAGUGAUGAGACCAACACUUGAUACGAUAUAAUGCACAAACUCGACACGGAAUUGGUAAGACUUGGUUAGAUUACAGAAAAAUUUUCAAACAUUAUAUUUUUCUUUCCAAUCACAACAAAACAUCAAAAUAUUUUCAAAAAUAAAAAUUAGAGAUUCCCUCUUCAAAAGAAGACACCCAUGAUUCUGAAAUUGGAGCUUUUAACCCAGAAGAUCAAAGAAGACAAAGAAGAAAAAACCCAACCCCUAACCCAUUCGGAAAUAAGAGGAGAAACCAUCAAAGAAUGAGGGCAUGAGUUAGGAUUUACUUACCUGAUUUUCCUAAAAAUCGAGAAUCACCAAAGGUGGAGGUUUGGUGUCGGCGGUGGUAACUCGUCAAGUGGACUGAAUCUUACAAUGACGACGUCGGCUAGGCAACCCCCUCACAGUCAGAUUGCUCUCCCUCCGGGGUCUUGCAUAGUUGCAAAUUUGCAAUUGCAGGUGGUGUCAUCUAUCGGCGGUCUUGACAGCAACGGUGGUGUGCGAGGUGUGGGAGAUUGGGAGUCCAAAUUGGUAAAGUAACAAAUGCAUUUUAUAUGGAUUUACGUUGAUGAUAUGAGAUAGGAUUUGAUGGUAACAUAUUAAAUUAAAUUAAACGAUUGAGUCCAAAAUGAUACGGAUGGUAUGAGAUGGGAUUUAAUGAAAAAUUAAAUGUAUUUAUAUGGAAAAUUGAGAAUUAAAUCCCCAAUUCUUAGUAUUAUUAUAAAUAGGUGAAAAAAUUUUGUUUUAUUAAAUUUUUAAGCUUAUUUAAUUUCUAUAUAUUUUUUUAUAUAUAAUUUACAUAACAUUUUUAUAAUUUUUUGAAAAUUUUAAUUAUCUUAUUUUGCGUAUUGCUUGAUAUUGAAUCAAAAUGUCGAGACCAACAUAUCUCGGGAUCAUUUGAGUCAAUGAUCGAUAUCACAACUUUGAACCAUGCUCGUCUCCAAUCCCUCAACAAUGAUGAAAAAUGAGGGCAACACAAUUACCUUUUUUAUUAUUAUCAGUUCAAAAUAAUACGUGUAUUAUAAUAUAAUUUUUAAAAAAUAUUUUACAAAAAAAUAUAUGUGGACCCCGCAUUUAGGCUCAUGCACUUCCACUCGAUGGCGAGCUCGAUUUUAUUUUGAAAAUGAUUUUAUUUAUUAGAAAAUGACUUGGAGUCGCUACUUAUUUUUGUUUUAUUUUUAAAGGGUAAACAAAAUAAGAAAGAAAACCCUAAGUGUGACUCCUUAUUUUGGAAAAGGUGGUCUGUGAAAAAUGGGAUCGAGUUCGGGGGCUAGGUUACUUAUCGGGAAGGUACGGUAAAGACCGUAGCACCCCUUUAACUCCCCAAAGUCGGGUCUUUACUAAUAAAAUGAAGUUGACGCGACAAUCAAUAAUAAAAACAAUGAAUAUCGACAUGAUCACAUAUUGAAAACCAAAACAUAUAAGGAUGAUGGUUAGAGUGAGAAAAAAUGCGUACCUAAUCAGCAAGCGGCAACGCGCUAUCAUAAAAUGAGGUUAGUGCACAAAUAAUGGACAUAAAACAUAGCUCACAUGCCACUGAAUCGAGUACAAAAUCAUCAGAUAUCACAAUUAAGUCAAAUUUAUUUUUCGAGGAAACAAUCAUUGAUGUUGGGCCUCCACCAAAACCCAAUUUAUUCCUGCAUGAAUUAAUUCCGUAAAUUCCAUCACUUGGAAUUAUAGAAUUUAAUUCACACUUAUUUUUAAAACGUUUUAGAAUUCAUGGAAGUUAUGGAAAUCCAUGCCGAAGAAAAUGACAACAAAAUUUUAUUAAAAAUGUGAUUUUUGGGACUUGAAAGCUCUAAGAAUGAAGAAUCUGGAAAAUAAUGCGAAAAAAAUGAGAUUUGGAAAAAAAUAUUUUUUUAAACCAAGAAUGGUGAAAAUGAGAAGAGAAAAAAAAAGUGACACGUGGCAUAAGGGUGGCCAUGCACCAUUUCAAACAAAUCUAACCCCACUUGCUUUUAUUUGAUCCUGAUCUUGAUCCCAUAUUUUGGAUGGUUCCUUCUGGUCAUGUGGACUUCUUAGUGAAAAUAGCAUGCUAUUGGGAUAAAACAUUUUAUAACUUUGACAUGUUUAAGAAUAAAAAAAAUGUCAAUGAUAGGGAAGGAGGACAAGAGGUGUAGCGACGCCAAGUUUAGAGUAGGUUUAGUCCAAUAGAGGUUAUUAGCAAAAAAACAUAUUUUCUUCUUGUACUUUUGAAAGUGUUCUAUUUUGAAUAAUGAGAGUAUUUUUUUUCCUUUUUUUUUUCUCUAAUACAUUAUUGGUGAAUAAGUGUUCUAUUUUGAAUAAUGAGAGUAUUUUUUUUCCUUUUUUUUUUUUCUCUAAUACAUUAUUGGUGAAUAAGUGUUCUAUUUUGAAUAAUGAGAGUAUUUUUUUUUCUUUUUUUUUUCUCUAAUACAUUAUUGGUGAUUAUUCUUCGCGGAAAUACCCACAAGGCUAUUAGAUGUUUCAUUGCAAAUAUGGUUUUACAUGAUAGCAUUACGAUUGAACUAAUAAAACAUAUUUUCUACAUAUUGUUUAGCUGGACCUCCCAACUACCUCUGGAUAAUAUCCUCUUAACAUAGGAAGUAUAAACUAAUAGCAAGUGCUAAUCUUUCCCAUUCUUACACAAGAAAGAACCAAGGAAAAGGUAUACUUAGAAGUUGCAUUUUUAUGUUCCUAAACAAUAGAAAAUUCAAUAUAUGGCACUUCACUCUCUACUUUUCUUUCCCACCUUUUCUCAUAACCCAAAUAUGCUCACCUCUCAUUCCAAGAUCCAACCAAAAUUGAAAAACAAUUACUAUUACAAUUACACUUUCUUUCAAGAAAUUGAAGUGUAGAAGGUAUAAUAAUUGAGUGAAACAAAUAAAAACCAACCUCCUUUAACACACCUGCUAAUGAAAUACUUGUAGAAACACUUUAAAUUUCUCCAGACUCCAAGAGAUACUGAUCAACAGCCUCGGCACCUACAGCAAUGAGACCAACACCUGAUACGAUAUAAUGCACAAACUUGGCAUGGAAUCGGUAAGACUCGGUUAGAUUAUAGAAAAAUUUUCAAACAUUCUCUUUUUCUUUCCAAUCAUAAUAAAACAUCAUAAUAUUUUCAAAAAUAAAAAUCAGAGAUUCCUCUUUCAAAAGCAAACACCCAUGAUUCUGAAAUUGGAGCUUUCAACCCAGAAGAUCAAAGAAGACGAAGAAGAAAAAACCCAACCCUUAACUCGUUCGGAAAUCAGAGGAGAAACCACCGAAGGAUGAGGGCAAGAUUUAGGAUUUACUUACCGAUUUUCCUAAAAAUCAAGAAUCAUCAGAGGGUGGAGGUUUGGUGUCGGCGGUGGUAACUCGUCAAGUGGACUGAAUCUUACAACGGCGAGGUCGGCUAGGCAACCCCCUCACAGUCAGAUUGCUCCCCCUCUAGGGUCUUGCAUAGUUGCAAAUUUGCAAUUGCAGGUGGUGUCAUCUAUCGGCGGUCUUGACAACAACGGUGGUGUGCGAGGUGUGGGAGAUUGGGAGCCCAAAUUGGUAAAGUAAAAAAUGCAUUUUAUAUGGAUUUACAUUGAUGAUAUGAGAUAGGAUUUGAUGGUAACAUAUUAAAUUAAAUUAAAUGAUUGAGUCCAAAAUGAUAUGGAUGGUAUGAGAUGGGAUUUAAUGAAAAAUUAAAUGUAUUUAUAUGACAGAUUAAGAAUUAAAUCCCCAAUUCUUAGUAUUAUUAUAAAUAGGUGAAAUUUUUUUGUUUUAUUAAAAUUUUAAGCUUAUUUAAUUUCUAUAUAUAAUUUACGUAAUAUUUUUAUAAUUUUUUGAAAUUUCUAAUUAUCUUAUUUUGCGUAUUACUUGAUACCGAAUCAAGAUGUCAAGACCAGCAUAUCUCGGGAUCAUCUGAAUCAAUGAUCGAUAUCGCGACAUUGAACCAUACUCAUCUCCAAUCCCUCAAUAGUGAUGAAAAAUGAGGCCAACGCAGUUGCCUUUUUUAUUAUUAUAAGUUAAAAAUAGUCAUGUAUUAUAAUAUAAUUUUAAAAAAAUAUUUUUACAAAAAAAAUACAAUAAAGAAAAUUUUAAAUAAAAGAGUUUACAAUAACUUUCUAUAUUAAUAAAUUAAUAAUGAAUCUAUAUCCAUGUAUUAUCGAGAAUAAAUAAGUUUAUAUUUAUAUAUUUUUAUUAUAAAUUUAUAUUGACACAUAUCCUUGAUUUCCCUCAAGGUUUUAUUUUUAAUUGAUUACAAAGCAUUAGUACUUGUUUAAUAAAAAAUGUAUUAAAUAAAUAUUAAUAUUAUAUAAAUAAAUAAAAGUUGAAUUUGAAUAAAACUUAUAUAUAUAUAUCAUAUUCAACAUGAAUAUGAAUCUAUUAUUAAAGAUACAUGGUAAUAAGUGUUAAUAUUAUAUAAUCAAAUGAGAGAGUACAAAAAUGUUCUAUUAUUAUAAUAAUAAGAUAUUUAAUAUCAUGCAAAUAAAUAAAAGUCACCAUAAAUUUAAAUUUGAAUUUAUAUUUUUAAACCCUUCAAAUUUUUAUUUUUAUUUUUAAAUUUUAAGAAUUUUUUCUCCACUUCAAAUAGCAAUAAUAGUGUUUAUUCAUACUAGUUAUACUUAAAAUUGAUGAAAAUUAUGAAAAAAAAAAAAGAAAUAAAAACCCAUACCCUUCAAAUUUGCAUUUGUUUUAAUUUUAAGAUUUUUUUUCUCUACUUCAAGUAAUAAUAAUAAUAAUGUUUAUUCAUACUAAUAACAAUAAAAUUAAUGAAAAUGAUGAAAAAUAAAAAAUAAAUAGUAAAAACUUCAAAUUUGUAAUAAUAAUAAUGUUUAUUCAUACUAAUAAACAAUUCUUCAUAAUCAUAACCUACUAAUUUCCAACAAUUAUAAUUGAAAUUAUUUUGAAUAAACAAUGUAAUUUGUAUUUGAAGUUGAAAAAAAUUGUGAAAAUUAAAUGGGAAGGGUAGGGUUUUAAUUUUAUUUUAUUUUUUUUACUUUUUACCUCAUAAAUUUUUUAUUUUUUUAUUUUUAUUUAUUUAUGAAUUCUAAGUGAAAUUAUUAUGAAUCAACAAUUUUAUUGAUAUUUAAAGUUAAAAAAAAUCUAUGAAUUUUAAAUAAAUUUUGGAAGGUAUUUGUAAUGGGGUAUUUUUAUUUGCACUUUCCUAUUAUGUUGAAACAUUGUUUGGUUUCAAAAUUGUUUAUUCAAAAUAAUUUCAAUUAUUAUUAUUGGAAAUUAGGAGGUUAUGAUUAUGAAGAAUUGUUUAUUAGUAUGAAUAAACAUUAUUAUUAUUAUUAUUAUUAUUAUUAUUAUUAUUUGAAGUAGAGAAAAAAUUCAUAAUGCAUAGGGAGAUCACAGAUUCUAUGGAUUCAACAAUUGAUAAGCCUACUUGUUUAUAUUAUUGUCCUUAACCAGCUAUCCCAUUUUUUAAUUUACUUUUGGUGCAUUUAGUUUGUAACUUAUCUUAUGUUUUACUUAUUUUCAAUUUUUUAAGGUUUAGAUAGUUUUUUUUUUCUAAAAAAAAAAAAAAACCUCUUUUGAGCCAUAACUUGAUUCUCUUGCUAUUCUUAUUUUUAACCAUUUUUUCAAUGAGAAAUUAGGUCUUUUGGCGGAAUUGUGGGAAGUGGAUUGAAUCGGGAAAUUUAUUUGGUCCAGAUUGUGUUUCACUAGAGUCCUAAGAGAUGCAGCUAAGUGAGCUUAUAAUAAAAAGGUAGGCAUGUAAACGAACCAUGCUAGUCCGGGCCAUUCUUAGCUUGGCCUAGUGGGCCUUCAAAAUUGCUCCAACAUGAAUUUCAACGUGAACUUCAGUUUUUAAAAUUAAUAAUUAUACAUUUGUUUUAACUAUUUAUAACAAAUAUUAUCUUUGAAAAGUAAAUUUCAAUUAAUUUUUAUAUUUAAAUAAAAAUUAUUAUUAUUUUAAUUAUUUGUAUCCAAAUCAUACCCGAUAUAUUUGAUUUAUCUUACAAUGUUUCAACAUAAUAGGAAAGUGCAAAUAAAAAUACCCCAUUACAAAUACCUUCCAAAAUUUAUUUAAAAUUCACAUAUAUAUAUAUAUAUAUAUAUAUAUAUAUAUAUAUGAAUUUUAAAUAUCAAUAAAAUUGUUGAUUCAUAAUAAUUUCACUUAGAAUUCAUAAAAAAAAUAUGAGGAAAAAAAAUUAAAAUAAAAAAUUUUAAGAUCCCUACCCUUCCCAUUUAAUUUUAACAAUUUUUUUUUCUGAGCAUUGAUUUGUUGAUCGGUUAUUAAGGGCCACUCAUUUGCUUUGUUGGAUCUAACUCUCUGUAUGCAUGCUCUGUUUUGGCUUUGUUUUUUUUUUUUUUUUUUUAUCUUUGCUUUCUCUUGUAAAUAUCUGAUGCAUUGUUCCUUCUCUGAACUUGAGAUAUAAAAAUCAUGCUCUUGUUCCUUGUGGAUUCCACCUUCUCCUAGCUCUUUGACAAUCCAUGAAAUAGAGCUAAGUUCAUACUUUAUUUUUAUGUUUUUAUUCUUUUUUGUUUGUUGUUGAUGGUGGGAUGAUAUUAUCAAUGGCCAAGUUGCUAGGAUUAGAGGAGUGAGGUUAUGGGGAAGUGAACUUAAUGGAGGAUUUCCGUGAUCAUAUCCAUGCUCCAAUAUAUUGGUUCCCAAUGUUGGCCACGGGACUGUAUUGAAGUUUUGGUAUUUGGGAUCACUUUGCCUUCUGGGUUCAGUAAGCAACACAGUGGCAAUAAAGAUGCUUUGGUGUUAUUAAUUUGGGUGAAUAAGUUGGUUGUAUGAAUUGUGAAAGUUCAGGUUGUGCUUUGAGGAGAGUAUAUCUUGCAUCCUACUAUUUUAAUUAUUAAUUUUGGAUGUUGAAAUAUGAUGUGAUUGCACUUCAUAUGCAUCAUAGUUGUGUGAAGAAAAAGAAAGAUUAAAGAACUGGUUGUGUGAAAUGGAAAUAAGAAUGGAAAAACCUUGGAGAUGGCAAAAAUGAAAAGAAAAGAAAAAAAAAAAAAAUGCAAUGACCCUAGAGAGAGCGAAUUAAGAAGGGAGUGAAAUCCCUAGGGUGAAAGACCCAAAAGUUUACUUCGGGAAGACUUCGAAUGAGGAGUAUAUUUAGGUACAGACGUGUAUCCUUUGGUGAAAGCCCGAGAAUGACAGUGCAUUGUGUGAUUGUGAGAUUGUGUGUAAGCAUUUGCAUCAUAAUUGCAUUUGGAAGAAGGAUUUGUAUUAUUUAUCAAGUGUAUAUUUGAAUAUAUUAUUCAAAACUAAAAUGACUUGUUUAUUUUGUAAAUUUAGAAUUGUUAAUAUACUAAACAUGAUUGAAUAAGGAAAAUGAUAAUUUUGAUUGUUUUAAAUUUGUAUGGUUAGGGUUUCUUUCAGUGUAUAUAUUGUAAAUGUAAUAUUAUAUCUUGGCAUAUGGUUGUGUUAUUGACCUAGAAUUUCUAACCUAUUUGGGUGUAAAACAUCCUACUGAGCAACGUGGAAAUGCUCACCCUUUUAUUUUUUAAAAUUUUUAGAUGUAAAUAUAGUUUUAGAGGGACCACAAAAAGUUCAAGAAGCGUUUUAGAAAGCAAAAGAACCAUAAUAAGAGUUGUUUUUAAAUUUAUAUUUCUCUUCUUAUACGUACCAAUUUGAGUUAUAUGGGCUUUUGUAUGUUAAAUUAUAUUUGUUAGGUUGUAAAAUAUUUUUGGAAAUAUCCUUUUUGAUUUAGAGAUUAUUGUAAAUAUUUGUGUUUUUGGGCAGGAAGAUGACUAAUGGAUUUAUUAUACUUGUGAAUAAGAGAUAAUGUGAUGGUUGGUUUUAAAAAAAUAAAAUAAUAUGUUAUAAUAAAUCUUAGUUUAAUAAGUUUAUUUAAGAUUACACGUUUUACUAUAAAAAAAAUAAAAAAUUUCAAAGUGUUUUGAUUGAUUGACAACGUAGAUAAGAAUUACCCGGAUCAAACUCUUGACCUGGGCCAACUAUGUUGGUGAAUACCCAAUUAUACCCACAUGAAUCAGCCGUCAAUCUUACAAAUCCAAGGGCAAAGUAGUCAUUCCAAUUCAAACCAAAAAAAGCCAUGAUUCAUGAAAACUGCUGGCCACAGCUCCUGGUUUUUGCCAAACUUUGGGCACCAAAUCCAAACCCAUCUCUUUGCUAUAUAACCAACCCACCUUCACUUCUUCAUCACAACACAACUACCUUGAUUUACAGAGAGAUCUUCUAUAUCCAUUCACUACUCAGAAUCACCUCUUUUUUUUGUUGAUUGUUGUUUGGGUUUUGGAGAAAGAAAAUUAAGAAGAUGAGUCAUAUGGGGAAAGCUUGGAUAGUGGCAGCAAGUGUGGGAGCAGUGGAGGCACUCAAGGAUCAGGGCUUCUGCAGAUGGAACUACACUCUGAGGUCUAUUCACCAGCAUGCCAAGACCAACCUCAGGUCCUUUACUCAGGCCAAGAAGCUC